GCGGCUGCAGGGAGAGACGGGGCGGCUCUGACAGUUGGUCUGCCCGGGAGGAAGGCAGCACGGCGUUCCAAAGAGACGGACGAGCAGUCGUUGUCGGAUGGUUGUUGUUUUGGGUGAUGUUUUAGCUUUGUUAGCUUAGUUGGGUUCACUGCUCCUCUUCACCAGUCGGUGUCGCUUUGUGUCCGUGUGCACGCUGCCUAAGCCCCGCCCCCCCUUUCCACGAGGAAAAAUGACAGAGGCAGCGCGAUCGACUUAUAUCUUGGUGACGUUCUAUUUCAUAUUUAUAUGUAAAAUGAAUAUCGCAGCACCAAAAAUGAUUGCACGCGAUUUCAGAUAUGCGAUAUGUGACAGUCCAUGAAAACUGCUCAUGCACACACAGCGUUUACGGCAGUAAAGUGCUUCUGAUUGUGCCGAUUAUAGUUGUAACAAAACGCCGCUAAUUUACUGCACCGCAGACUGCUUACAGGUGGACUCCUUUGGCGCCUUUAGUGUCCUCUAAACAUUUAAUUCAUUUGAAGGCCCCUCACAUGGCCAAGUUAUUUAGGAGAUGUGAGGCCGAGGUAGACUAAAACAAAGCGCCAAAUUUGACUUUGUCUAAACUUGCCGUGGAUCGUGGGACGACUUUGAGAUUUCGAUCAAGUUAUUCUGGUGCAUUAGGCUGAUCCGAGCUGUGGAAAGACCGACUUUACUGAGCGGCGAUGGAUAAUUUGUCCUUUCAGAAGGAUUCAGAACAUCUUUCCAUUGAGUUGAAAAAGCAGCAGCUACAGCGAAUCUCCCUCUGAAAUGACUUCAGAGACAUUGUGUUCAAGCACAGGGCCUUUCACUUUAAAAACGCAAUCUGUUCAGUCUCGUAAAGGCCUCAAUUAGAUGAAGGCUACCCUGAUGUGGGGGGGGGGGGGCUCUUCAUCCUCUAUGUGUGCCUCUCAAUACAACAGAACGUACCGUGGGAGGUCAAGUAAUGGGGAGUGCUGGGAAGUGUAGUCAUUAUGUUUGAGGGUGACGGCAACUAAUGUGCGUUCGAAAAUAAUGUGCCGUUUUGUGACCACUGCUGUGUCCUUGUUUAAAGCACCAGCGCGGCUUGCAUGGCACUCAAAAAGAAAUAGUUAAUUGGUAACCGAUCUGACCUUGUUUGUAAUUCAGCUUUGCCCCCAACAAGCUGACGGGCACAUCAGUUACAUGUGGUCUAAGAAAUCCAGCCGGACCGGGUUUUAUUCUUUAUCUUUUUUUUUUUAUCCACAAGGGGGAAAAAUGAAGGAUCGCCUCUGAAAUCGCAUCUGGCAUCACGGGCCGGAAAGUUGGCAAAAUUGAUGGAAUUAACAUAUCUGUUGUGCAAUCGCAUUCCCCGUGGCCAGCGUGAGUGCGCAGUUCAUCCAUAAAAUAUGACCGUCUGAGAAACAAAUAUUGAAAUCACACCUGUCAAAAUGAAGUUUGGGCAUGUGCAUGUAGGGAUAAUGUUUAAUUAGGGAGCAGAGAAGUCAAUGCUUUGGCUUUUAUGAGACAUGGAAAUCAAAGAGAAUCUAUUUGCAUACACCUAGUAUCGACGUUCGAGUUCCAGUUUAUGUUGGCUGUUGUUCUUUGUUCGUGUUGUCGUUUUCCAUUUGCAUUUACAAUGUGGAGGAAUAGGGUAAUAAAAGUACAUCAUGGUGUAUUUAUUGAGGAUGCAUUGCCCUCUGGUGGGCAGCCAUGAAACGGCCUUAUUUGUACAGCAGCUACCCAAGUGUGUGUGUGUGUGUGUGUGUGUGUGUGUGCGUGCGUGUGUGUAACAGCUCAAAGCGGUUCAUGCAUGAGCUCUCUAGUUUACCUUGAUGAAUUCACAUAGAAACAUCUGAACGCCACUAAGACCAGCCGGGCAGGCAGAGCGACACGAGCACGGCGGCUCCGUGGAAGCUAUUUCCUCGAGGUCCGAGGGUCAACAUGCAGGUGGGUGCUGCUGCAGCUGGUGCCUCCAGGGCCCCCGAGGAACCUAAUCAUACGUUUCAGGGUGAAAUGAUGAGAAUGCGGCAGCUCAAAGGACGAUUUGAGAGAACAGAACAGAUAAAAUAUGUAAAGGUUUUUCACUCGAUGUGGAUCUUCAGUGACACAGCUGGUACGUCCACCUUUUACCCCCUGAAUCCCAAAGACCAACAGGACUCUUCAGAUCGCUACAUGCGUGUGGAGAAUGUCGUCCUAUGAGUAUCUCCCGAAGUGACUAUUGCAGAGGGUCGCAAGCACAAACACAGAGGCAUGAUGGGAAAGGCUGUAAUGCUGGUUAGGUCAUUAGUACACGUGUGGGGCCCAAAACAAUAAAAUGGUUAAAAACAUUAUUGUGUAAAGUGUUUUGCUGGAAAAGGUGCAAAGUUUCUUUUGGGUCAAAGAUUUGUUUGCACGUACAGAAAAUAUUUUGCUUGUGAAAACAACGUCUCUCCCUUUAAAAGUGAACUUGAAGACUCCCAGACGACACCCACUGCAGACAGAAAACACACAGCAGGUGGGGUUAUAAAGCGAUUUGGGUGCUCCACAAGCCGACACUACAAACUUCUCAGAGUUUACAAAAAGCAAGGCUAACGAGAUAAAAGGAGAGCGGGAGCGGCGGCGGAGGCGGGGAGGGCUGGGGAAAUCGACGCGGCGUGGGAGGAGGGCCGUGGCGCUGGAGCGCAGAGGUGAAGGGGAUGUAAAACAAAAACAAGAAAAUGUGAUGGAGACGGACGGAGGAGGAGGCUAACGAGAGGCGGGCUGGGAUCCGGGCGGAGGGUUCAGCGGAGCCGGGGAGGUUUAGUCAGAUAUCCACCCGGCUCUUAAAUCACCCGUCGUGACGGAUGCACAAAGGCCUGGCUUGACGCCGGCGCUGCCGGUCGUCUUCUGAGCUGUUAAUCACGGAGACCUGCGAGGGGCCGAUCUCUCAACGUCGGCCGUGGAGACGCCUGGCAGCAACACAUGAGUCCCACGCUGCGACCGCCGCGCCGCCGCGCGGCUUUCAGGGCCUCUUCGACGCCGCCAUCCACCUGCAACCGCCCCGCGGCAAAUACCGGGCUCUCCCCUCAGCAGGCGCCCGCGUUAUCUGUGCACGUGUGUGUGUGUGAGAGGGAGGGAUGGAGGGAGGAGACGAAGCCAUGGGUGGGGUGUGUGUCUGUUAUCUUUCUGUCUGUGUGGACACGCGCUGGGUGAACUCUGCAGGGAUGAGACGGGUGAGGUGCCGUUGAAAUAUGACACCUCUCACUUGUUCCCGAAGCCUUCCCUCAGAGCGAGCCUUAGAGAAAAUAGAUCAGAUGCACUUUCUCUCUGACACACACACACACACACCUACACGCGCACACUGUGUUACGACGUAGUUAGGCCGCCUGUCAGUUGUGAAGGAGUCCUAUCAGGGUUCACUGCAAACAAAUGGCCGCCUCAGCCUGACAGUCGGCUAGCGGAGGGACGCCGAAGCUGGAAACAAGCGCCGGCUCUGACUCACAGCUGGAAUACGGACCCGGAGAGAAACAGCUGCAUCGAUCAGACGGGGGAGGGGAGGUAUUAAGAGAGACAGGCCGAUUUGGGAGUUGACAGAGCGGGGCUUCUACUUCAGCGCCGCGUCUACGAUGUGUAGCCUUUUAACAGAGAGGGGUGAACUGCGCACUUAUUUUGUUUCAGACGAGCCUUUCUCGUAGAAGGGGGUUGUUGCAUUUUUCAUGACGAAGGGGGAGAUGCGGAAUGGUUUAGAGACAAGACAAAGAGGCGCUUUGUGAGGGGAGUGCAAAGGCACAGCAGGCGCCUCAGGCAAACGCUAACGUCAGCAUGCUAACACGCGCACAGCCAGGAUGCUAACGUGCUGAUGGUGGGCCUGCGACGUGCAUCAUUAGAGCUCGGUGUGUUCAUUUAGACACGGCGCAGCUGCAAGGCCAGUGAUUUGUCGGAAUGUUGAUGUGUUCUGAACGGGACACGAACAUCUGUCCUACAUAGUUAAAAGGCACGAUUCACUAAAAAAAACAAAUGUGAAGGUGCAUCCCGGAGACGAUUUCACUGUGUACCAACAGUUCUACUAAAGGUUGGUCGAGUUGUUCUAUACGAAGGCCAACAGGACGGGUUUUCCGCACUCAUACCGAGACAAUGGACUGUGGAAUAUCACUGUUUAUCUAUUAAAAGCCAUUUUUCCCGUCUCAUCGACCGCAGUAAAACUAAAAAAGCAUCAACGUGAUUCAAGGAGAGGAUGAUCGGUUUAAAACACAAGUUAACGAGGAGUCUGGGAAAUCAUUUGAUACCAACUUUCGCCUCAGAGCAUAUUCUUGGUCGGUACUAAAAAUGGUAACGAGGUCCAUAACCCAGCCGUACCCGAGGGCACCGAUUCUAGCUGAGAAUUGACAAAUUAAAACUUAACACAUGCGUGCUCCCAGGAAAGCAUACCAAACAUGCAUGCAUUGCACGGCCAAAUUGCACAAGCAUGCUCCACCCCCCCUACACACACACACACACACACCUUCACAGACAGCCUGGCGCUCAAUAAACAUGAUACACAUUCGUGUGCGUGGGCCCGGCUUGUAGCGUCUGGCUCACAGCAUGGCGGUAAACAGCGUGCAGCCGAGGCGAUGUGGGGACGCGUGCAGGCGGGUUGAUUAAAGAGCAAUCGCUGCCCCCGCGGUGAGAGAAAGGCUGGCGUAAUCACCUUAAGACAACACGGUUUGGGAGCAUAAGCCUCUACACCUCAAAUUCUGAAAGUUUUUAAGAGGGGUGGUAAAAAGUUGUGGGAUGCCUGCAGUUGGCAAAGAGGCCAAUAAUGGUGCAAGUGGAUUCCCACUGAGUGGAAGGCAAAAGGGGGG
ensembl:lncRNA